CCGGCGCACGGGUGAGUAACACGUAUCCAACCUGCCGUCUACUCUUGGACAGCCUUCUGAAAGGAAGAUUAAUACAAGAUGGCAUCAUGAGUCCGCAUGUUCACAUGAUUAAAGGUAUUCCGGUAGACGAUGGGGAUGCGUUCCAUUAGAUAGUAGGCGGGGUAACGGCCCACCUAGUCUUCGAUGGAUAGGGGUUCUGAGGGGAAGGUCCCCCACAUUGGAACUGAGACACGGUCCAA
rnacentral:rRNA from 1 species